GACGAACGCUGGCGGCGUGCUUAACACAUGCAAGUCGAACGGAAAGGCCCUGCUUUUGUGGGGUGCUCGAGUGGCGAACGGGUGAGUAACACGUGAGUAACCUGCCCUUGACUUUGGGAUAACUUCAGGAAACUGGGGCUAAUACCGGAUAGGAGCUCCUGCUGCAUGGUGGGGGUUGGAAAGUUUCGGCGGUUGGGGAUGGACUCGCGGCUUAUCAGCUUGUUGGUUGGGUAGUGGCUGACCAAGGCUUUGACGGGUAGCCGGCCUGAGCGGGUGACCGGCCACAUUAGACUGGGGAUGCGGCACAGCCUACUAUCGUAGGGAGCGGUGGGGAGUGUUAUACAAUGGGAGGAAGGCAAAUGCAGCAACGCCGCGUGCGGGAUGAGAUGCUGCGGGUUGUGAACUGAUUUCGCCUGUGACGAGGCGUUAAUGACGGUAACGGGUAAAGAAGCACCGGCUAACUACGUG
rnacentral:rRNA from 1 species